GGCCCCUUCCCAUCUGACAAUUUCCGAAGAUUUUAUAUUGACCUCUCGCUUUUUCAUCAUUCCAUCUCGCUAUUUUUGAGUGGUUUUUGCCGUUCGUGCCCUGUGGUGAGCGGUUUUGUCAAUGUGUUGGUGUUGAUCGUGCUGACCGAGCGACCCGAGUGUGAUUUUCAAACAAUUUACAAAGAAAAAAGGAAGAAGCAAACGCGGAACACGCACAUGCACACAGUCCGCGUUGCCGGACUUCGUGAUCCGAGAGAGUGCAAUAUGGACGCGUUGAUUUGAGGAGGUUUAAAAUAGUGAAUUAUCAACGAACUGUGUCCUCAAAGUGUUUCAGAAGACCAUUCAAGGGUGGAAUCAAACAGCAUCGACAGCCGCAACAUCAUGCAACAGUGAACAGUGCAGGAAGGAUGUUCAUCUACAGCCAAGAUUUCAUCGUAUACGUGUUUUGAAGUUUUUUUGUUCUUUUAAAGUGAUAAAUGUGAUUAAUUUACUAAUUUUUAGUAGUUAAAAAUGAUAAAAAAGGUGAAUUAACAACACUUGUUAAUAUUGUGAAAAAAUAUUGUGAAAUAAAAAGAAAUAUUUUAAGUGUAAA